rnacentral:rRNA from 1 species
GACGAACGCUGGCGGCGUGCCUAAUACAUGCAAGUCGAACGCAGUGGGGACGGGUGAGUAACACGUGGGUAACCUCCCAUCAGAGGGGAUAACACUUGGAAACAGGUGAUAAACCGAUACUGAUGGAUGGACCCGCGGUGCAUGAGCGAGUUGGUGAGGUAAAGGCUCACCAAGGCCACGAUGCAUAGGCGACCUGGGAGGUUGAUCGGCCACACUGGGACUGAGCCACGGCCCAGACGCCGACGAGAGGCAGCAGUGGGGAAUAUUGCACAAUGGGCGCAAGCCUGAUGCAGCCAUGCCGCGUGUAUUAAGAAGGCCCUAGGGUUGUAAAGUCCUUUCAGUCGGGAGGCGUUACCGACAGAAGAAGCACCGGCCAACUCCGUGCCAGCAGCCGCGGUAAUUC